AGUAAGAUAAAAACACAGUUUCGGUUGGUAGUCCGAACCAGAAUGAUUUCUGAAGUAUCCUUCCUCCUUAGGUCGUCCGUUCUUACUAAAUAAU
rnacentral:ncRNA from 1 species